GUUGCAGAGCAUAAGGGCAUACGGUGGAUGGCUCGACAGAACGUGCUGACGAAGGACGUAGCAGCCUGCGAUAAGCUUCGGGGAGGUGGCAAGCAACCUUUGAUCCGGAGAUAUCCGAAUGGGGAAACCUGGUACGGGGAAAGCCGUAUCAUCUGGCGCUGAAUAUAUAGGCGUUGGAGAGGCACCUGGGGAAGUGAAACAUCUCAGUACCCAGAGGAAAAGAAAAAGAUCUGCUCGUUGUUAUGUAGAAACGUAGAAAGCGUAAGCGAUUCUACGGAGUUCUACAUACACAACGAGCCCAUUCCCUUAGUAGUGGCGAGCGAAAAGGGAUCAGUCCAAACCUUUCCGGUGAAGUUGUCCUGUCGGUGUGAACGCAAGUUUUCAUCAAGGGAUAAUGAAAGGCGGCAGUCGUUGUUGGAAAGGGGUUGAAAGUCCGUUAUGUUGUUUUCUGCCGAAAACAAGCAAGACAUGCAAUAUAUAGGGGAAUCCACUGGAAAGUGGAACCAAAGAAGGUGAUAGUCCUGUACGCGAAAUAUAUCUGUGUGAUUGUAGUAAUGGCACUUGAGUACCACGAGACUCGAGAAAUCUUGUGGGAAUCUGCCGCGACUAUGUGGCAAGACUAAAUACAUGUUCUGAUCGAUAGUGAACCAGUACCGCGAGGGAAAGCUUAAAAGUACCCCGGAAGGGGGAUGAAAUAGUAUCUGAAACCGUAUGCUUACAAGGAGUCGGAGUCUUGUCGCAAGACAGGAUGACGGCGUUCCUAUUGAAGAAUGAGCCAACGAGUGUGCUACGUGUCGCACAGUUAAGUCCUCCGGGACGAAGCUAAAGUGAAAGCGAGCGUUCAAUACGCGUAUUUUGAAAAUUGUUCACGUUAUUUGGAAAUUUAUUUUUGAGUAACGUGAACAUUUUCAAACAGUGACACGUACAUGACCCGAAACCGGGUGACCUAACCAUGACCAGGGUGAAGCGGGUGUAACAACCCGUGGAGGCCCGAACCCACGUGCUGUGCAAAACACGGGGACGAGUUGUGGUUAGCGGAGAAAUUCCAAUCGAACUCGGUAAUAGCUGGUUCUCCCCGAGAUAGCUUUUGGGCUAGCGUCGGUUAAUAGUGUGUUGGGGGUAGAGCACUGAAUGGGAUUGUCGCCGCAAGGUAGACAUCCUAACCAAACUCCGAAUACCAGCACAUGUUCCCGGCAGUCAGACUAUGGGGGCUAAGCUCCAUUGGUCGAAAGGGAAACAGCCCAGAUCUCAAACUAAGGUCCCUAAAUCGUCGUUAAGUGUAAAAGGUGGUGGAAAGACUUUUACAACCAGGAGGUUGGCUUAGAAGCAGCCAUCCUUUAAAGAUAGCGUAAUAGCUCACUGGUCAAGUUUUUCUGCGCCGAAAAUGUACCGGGGCUAAACGACGUACCGAAGUUGAGGGUUUGUCCAGUUUCGACUGGACAAGCGGUAGGGGAGCAUUCGUAUUGCGCUGAAGUUGUGUCGUAAGGCAUGGUGGAGCGAUACGAAGUGAGAAUGUUGGCAUAAGUAGCAUAAAGACAGGUGAGAGUCCUGUCCGCCGUAAACCCAAGGUUUCCUGGGCAACGUGAAUCGUCCCAGGGUUAGUCGGGAGCUAAGGCGAGGCUGAAAAGCGUAGUCGAUGCACAGCAGGUUCAUAUUCCUGCACUCUGUUUUGUUUCCAAUGAGGGGACGCUCUUCGUAUUUUCCCGCGUUCUAUGGCUAUGACGUUGGGCGCAUCUGAACGACUGGCAGGCAAAUCCACCAGUCAUCCAUUUGGAUGCGAUCGCAAGCUUGUUGAAAGACGAGCAAGGGGAAAAGAAAGGGAGCCAAGAAAAGCCUCUAGGGUUAAGCAAAAUAGACCCGUACCGGAAACCGACACAGGUGGGUGGGUGCGAUAAUGCACUAAGGCGUACGAGAGAACCCUUGUUUAGGAACUCGGCAAAACAAUGGCCGUAACUUCGGGAUAAGGCCUGGUUGCCCCCGGGAGGGGGUGACCCGCAGCGAAAGACAUCAACCGACUGUUUACCAAAAACACAGGUCCCUGCAAAAUCAUAAGAUGAAGUAUAGGGGCUGAUGCCUGGCCAGUGUCAGAACGUUAAGGAAGGGGGUCAUUCCACCGCAAGGUGGAGGCAGCUUCCGACUGAAGCGCUGAUGAACGCCGGCGAUAACUAUAAUCGUCCUAAGGUAGCGAAAUUCCUUGUCGGGUAAGUUCCGACCUGCACGAAUGGCAUAACGAGUGAUGAGUGAAGAUGCUCAUUACCCGUGGUUAGACGAAAAGACCCCGUGAAGCUUUACUACAACUUGUUAUUGGGUUCAUGCUUCGUAUGUUCAGCGUAGGUGGGAGCUUAGGCGCCAAUGAGACACCACCCUUGCGUUGCGUGAAUUCUAACCGCUCAGCCUGAAUCGGCUGGGUGGAACAGUAGCUGGUGGGUAGUUUACCUGGGGCGGGUGCCUCCCAAAAAGUAACGGAGGCGUUUACAAAGGUUGGCUUAGCGCGGAUGGAAAUCGCGCUGGACGCGCAAACGCAGAAGCCAGCUUUACUGCAAGACAGACAAGUCGCGCAGUCGCGAAAGCGGAAGUUAGUGAUCCGACCGUACGACAUAGGACGGCGGAAGCUCAACGGAUAAAAGCUA
rfam:Parcubacteria (Thrbacteria) bacterium GW2011_GWF2_41_16 TT48_C0009, whole genome shotgun sequence.